rnacentral:rRNA from 1 species
UACGGGGGGGGCAAGCGUUGUUCGGAAUUACUGGGCGUAAAGGGCUCGUAGGCGGCCAACUAAGUCAGACGUGAAAUCCCUAGGCUCAACCUAGGAACUGCGUCUGAUACUGGAUGGCUUGAAUCCGGGAGAGGGAUGCAGAAUUCCAGGUGUAGCGGUGAAAUGCGUAGAUAUCUGGAGGAACACCGGUGGCGAAGGCGGCAUCCUGGACCGGCAUUGACGCUGAGGCGCGAAAGCUAGGGGAGCAAACGGG